GCUUCCAUCUGGAAGAAUCUGGAGACAGGUGCUGCAUGGCUGUCGUCAGCUCGUGUCGUGAGAUGUUGGGUUAAGUCCCGCAACGAGCGCAACCCUUGCCUUUAGUUGCCAGGCAGUUCGGCUGGGCACUCUAAAGGGACUGCCGGUGUUAAACCGGAGGAAGGUGGGGAUGACGUCAAGUCCUCAUGGCCUUUAUGACCAGGGCUACACACGUACUACAAUGGCCGAUACAAAGGGCAGCGACACUGCGAGGUGAAGCCAAUCCCGUAAAAUCGGUCUCAGUCCGGAUUGGAGUCUGCAACUCGACUCCAUGAAGUUGGAAUCGCUAGUAAUCGUGGAUCAGCCAAGCCGCGGUGAAUACGUUCCCGGGCCUU
rnacentral:rRNA from 1 species